rnacentral:tRNA from 1 species
CAAAGCGCAGCUAAUGAAGGAAAGCACUUCCCUUACACCGAAGAGACACCCGUGCAACUCGGGUCGCUUUGA